CAUACACAUUUUUUUGGCCGUGUUUCAAAUGCAGGUGAGUUGCCUACCUAGAUAGCAUUUUUGGCCAUCAUAGGCUGACUUGGAACGCGCCCUUGAUGCCUAAAUAUUUUCUAGGUGGGCAAAUCUCCAGUUUUAGGAAAUAAAUGGAUUUAAGAAAUGGAUUUAAAGUAAACAUUGCUGCUAAUUUUCCCUUUUUUGAGCCUUUAAUCGGGGAGUACGUUGGGACACUUAAAAUUUUUGUAACCUUCUUUGUUCUGAGAUGGGAACUUUACAAACACCUCAGUUAAAGUGUUUAUUGCUGCAUAAUGCAUAGAAGAAUAAUAUCAUUCCGGUUUUUUUCUGUAAGGUAACUAUAUAUUUUUUUAUUUAAUUGUCAAGCUGCGCGAAUCUAUAAAAUCUUCUGUUUUUUAUUUUUUUUAUCAGUUUUAGUGCAAAGGUUAAAAACUGUGUCCACUGUAUAAAAUAUGAACAUGUUUGUUUGAUAAAGUAUUAAUAGAUGCAGGUUUAAUACACUAAAUGUUUAACAAGUUAAUUUUCUUGGAGCAGUGUUAUUGUUAGGCCAAAAGUAGUUAUCAAACAUUGUGUGUAAUAUGGACAAUGUUGCAUAAAAUGCUACACCAAACUUUUUUUCAUAACAGUAAGACAUUUUAUAAUGAAAAAUGUACCCACAAUUUUUAGAUGAAAAAGGUGGGAUCUCUAAAAGUUAAAUACAUGACAUACACAAAAAGUUUGGAGCCAGUAAGAUUUUUACUUUUACUCAUUAAAUUGAUCAAAAGUGACAGUUAAUACUUUUACAUUGUUAAAAAAAAGGCUGCACAACUGUAAAAACAUUAAAACACCCACUGAGCCCAGAUUUUGAAAGGCAUUUCACACAAAUCCUUCCACAAAUGCCCAUUCAACAUGUUCAGUGAGUUGUGUAGAAACACGCAGAAGCUGGCCUGACAAUCUAAAUUAUAUUUGUCUGAUAUAUUGGUGUUUGGUAUGAGAAGGGUAUGACACCUUUAACUUAACAAAUACAGGCAAAAGCUUUAAGAUGUCUGUUCCUCAGUGCACUUUGAUCCGUGGCUGUGCUCUUUGAGUUUGUGUUGUGCAAGAGAGUCAUAGUUUCGUAGUCUUUGCUGUACUUUUAGAAGUACACUUUGGUCGGUCUACUUCUGCUGCUAAAGAAUGGCAUGAUUUUGCAGAUUUUUGGUCUGUUCCGGUAUUAGACGGUUGACCAAUCACAUGUCCAUUAACUAUUUCAACACAUUGUAGGUUAAAAAUGAUAAAACAAAGUAUAUUUCAGAACUGGUCACUGCUAUAAAUCACCAUUUUUGCAGUUCACUUAAAUGGACCUGCAGUGUGUAAUAUUCCUCUCAUGUGUGAGGGCACAAAAACAGCAUUUAUAAUAAUUAUACAACAAUUAUUAAGCAUGUCACAUUGAAAGGCACUGCUUGAAAUGUCACAAGAACUAACCUGUUAUUUAUAGUGUUAUUGUAUGAGAGCCAGUGAAAAGUGUGACUAUAGUAAACACCCUACCCAUGUACACCGCUAUGUUUAAAAUGGAAAUACGGUGGUGUUGGUCAGGGAGAGUCUACUUUGUUGUGUAAUAUCAUAAAACGCUCUUCUGCAGUACUGGAGUACAUUUUACCUGAAAAUACAAUUUCAGUUUUUCUAAUUCAAAAUGGCACUUUUAAUUCAAUGUUACUUGUCGUUUCUUUUUAGUUGUUUAAUAUUUACCUGUAAUUUCUGUUUGAAAAUGGUCAGUUUAUGUGUUUUGAAUUUUCUGUUGCUCAUUGUGUUUAUGUAUUUCUUCAGGUGUUUUGGCACUAUGGGCUCUGGUCACACACAUAAUGUACCUUCAGGACUUCUGGAGAACAUGGUUAAAGGGACUGAAGUUCUUCCUGGUCAUAGGUGUCAUUUUCUCAGUGUUGUCCAUCGUGGCAUUCAUCUCUUUCCUCUGUGUCGCCAUCUCCCGCAAACAAUCUCUCAAAGAUCCCACCAGUCUGUACCUGUCAUGUGUGUGGAGCUUCAUGAGUUUAAAGUGGGCGUUUCUCCUGGCCCUCUAUUCUCAUCGAUAUCGCAAAGAAUUCGCAGACAUCUCUAUCCUCAGUGACUUUUAAAUGUACACACAAUAACACGCUCGUGCCCACAGACAAACAAGUAAAUAAGUGUACAACAUGCUUGGCUGUCACCAUUUAAAAUGGACCAGGAACACUCGACGAGGAGAGUUUGUCUUUUUAGUAAAUCAAGACAUUAGUGUACCACUUCUCUCUCUUUCUGCUAUAGUCUGUCCUGGAUGAAAGAUCUCAUCAGUGAUUUUAAAUUUUGGACUUUUUAAUAUCCAUGAUCAAAAUCAACAUUUCGGAACCUUUUCACUUUUCAGUAUGUAUGGUUUAUACUUUGCAUUUCUGAAUGAGGUAUUAAGAGGAGUCUUUUGUCUUUCUCCUGGCUGCUGUUCUUUUGAAUGUCUCGCUAUGGGAUUAGGAUAAGUGACAGAUUUUUGUUAAGCUGGUGCGUUUUCUCCUGCUAUUGCAUAGCAUUUAGGUUACUCUCUAUUGGUUUUUAAAAUAAGCACUUUAUUGUCUAUAAAAUGUGGUAUAACCAAUCACGAACCUUGUUCAUGUGGGAAUCUUUGAGGCUUUACUGGCAAGGGUUGUUAUGUGGAAAGCCCAAAUUCUCUUCUUGUUUGUACUUUUAUGACCCCAAUUCAUUAGAGAGCAACAUCCAGCACACAUUUGAAUGACAUGAAUGAUUUUUGUAGCAUUUUUUUUUUCCACAAGACAAACAGGGUUAGCGGUUUUUAUGUCUGUCAACUGUUAUAUGGCUGGGUGUUGGUUAGUAUAAUUUCACUCAGAUAAUACUGCAUGCAUUUGUCUUGUAUUAAGUUGAGCUUUUUAUAUUUACAUAAAACAUUAUACUGUUAGAAUGUGAUUUUUGAUUUUGCCUGAUAUAUCAGGCAAUUUUGUGAACAUAUCCAUUAUAAUGUAUUGUAUAUGAAAUCAGUAACUUUAUGUAUUUGUCAGUGACCCAUUAAUAAAAUUACCUGAUACAUUA